GGCAAAUUCUGUAGCUCAGUUUUAGAGCCUCUGCUUUGCAGGCAGGAGGUCCCAGGUUCAAUCCCUGGCACUUCCG